AUUCGCCCUUAGAGUUUGAUCCUGGCUCAGAAUGAACGCUGGCGGCAUGCCUAACACAUGCAAGUCGAACGAUGCUUUCGGGCAUAGUGGCGCACGGGUGCGUAACGCGUGGGAAUCUGCCCUUGGGUUCGGAAUAACCGUUAGAAAUGACGGCUAAUACCGGACGAUGACGUAAGUCCAAAGAUUUAUCGCCCGAGGAUGAGCCCGCGUGAGAUUAGGUAGUUGGUGGGGUAAAGGCCUACCAAGCCGACGAUCUCUAGCUGGUCUGAGAGGAUGAUCAGCCACACUGGGACUGAGACACGGCCCAGACUCCUACGGGAGGCAGCAGUGGGGAAUAUUGGACAAUGGGCGCAAGCCUGAUCCAGCAAUGCCGCGUGAGUGAUGAAGGCCUUAGGGUUGUAAAGCUCUUUUACCCGGGAUGAUAAUGACAGUACCGGGAGAAUAAGCUCCGGCUAACUCCGUGCCAGCAGCCGCGGUAAUACGGAGGGAGCUAGCGUUAUUCGGAAUUACUGGGCGUAAAGCGCACGUAGGCGGCUUUGUAAGUUAGAGGUGAAAGCCUGGGGCUCAACUCCAGAAUUGCCUUUAAGACUGCAUCGCUUGAAUCCAAGAGAGGUGAGUGGAAUUCCGAGUGUAGAGGUGAAAUUCGUAGAUAUUCGGAAGAACACCAGUGGCGAAGGCGGCUCACUGGCUUGGUAUUGACGCUGAGGUGCGAAAGCGUGG
rnacentral:rRNA from 1 species